rnacentral:lncRNA from 1 species
CAUGUUGCUGGUCUCGCUGAUUACUCUGCACUUCCCGGAUUGGGGUCCUGUGUCUCGUGAGCUCCAGGUGGUCUGCCUGCCAGAGACUUGUGUGUGCCCAUAUGCCUGGUGCCUGGCCCGGUCCAAUGGCCCCAGGACCCUCGGACCCUGAAGAUGUGCCCUAGCACUCUGCUUUUCAGUCUUAUGGGUUCCACAUCCCUACCAGGGCCUUGGACAAUACAUAUGCUCUACACCUCUCCAGCUGUUCUGAGCCAUGUC